rnacentral:rRNA from 1 species
UAAAUACAAUAGGUAUAAAAAACUUCUAAACCUUUAUAAAUUGGCGGCCAUGACUUUUUAGAGGAAUUCGCUGUAUAAUCGUAAAUACCCGAUAAAUUUAACCUUUAUCAAAAGUUUGUAUACCGCCGUUUAACAGAAUACAAUUAACACACCCACAUAGUAAAUACUAAAAAAUCAGGUCAAGGUGUAGCUAAUAUAAUGGAAACAGUAAAUUACACUAUAAUAAAUAUUAGAAUUAUAAUUACAAAUUCAUAUGAAAAAGAAUCUACAAUCACAAAUAACAUAAUAUAUUAUUUAGAAUUUAAAACACAUGGCGU